GACGAACGCUGGCGGCGCGCUUAACACAUGCAAGUCGAGCGAGAACCAGGGCUUCGGCCCUGGGGACAGCGGCGAACGGGUGAGUAACACGUGGGUAAUCCACCCUCGGCACCGGAAUAGCCCGGGGAAACCCGGAUUAAUGCCGGAUGGCCCGCCGGCCCCGCGGGGCUGGCGGAAAAGGUAGCUUCGGCCUCCGGCCGAGGACGAGCCCGCGACGGAUUAGCUUGUUGGUGGGGUAACGGCCUACCAAGGCUGCGAUCCGUAGCUGGUCUGAGAGGACGAUCAGCCACACUGGGACUGAGACACGGCCCAGACUCCUACGGGAGGCAGCAGUGGGGAAUCUUGCGCAAUGGGCGAAAGCCUGACGCAGCGACGCCGCGUGGGGGAAGAAGGCCUUCGGGUUGUAAACCUCUUUCAGGAGGGACGAAGCCACUCGGGUUAAUAGCCCAGAGGGUGACGGUACCUCCAGAAGAAGCCCCGGCUAACUACGUGCCAGCCGCCGCCGUAAGAC
rnacentral:rRNA from 1 species